CUUGCCCUUCCCAGGGACUUUUAAAGCAAAACCACAAGGGCUGACAGGCUCCAGACAUGCAUUCGAGGUGCCUUUGAGAAGCCCCAGGGCAUAGUGGUGACGUUUACACUGGACAGGUCAUCAUGGGCAACCACGCUAAGCUGCAGAACAAGGAACAUGUGAUAGAGGCCCUACAUAGGCCCAAACUGAAGUUCCCUGGCUGCCAGAAGAUCCACAUCUCCAAGAGGAGGGGCUGCACCAAGUUCAAGGCAGACGUUCAUCCCUGACGGCAAGGGGAUGAAAUACAUCCCGAAUCCCGGUCCCCUGGAAAAGUGGCGGGCCUUGCCCUCCUUCCACUAUGCUCCCCCAAUAAACCAAUAAAUUAUCAGUAAAUCUUA